UUCUUCUCACGCACCGAAAUCGGACGGACAGACUUACUCACGCCUUCUUGCUUCCGGAGCCGACGCCGCACCUCCACUUCUUCUUCCUCUCCAUCGACCACCAAGGCAGGCGGCGUCGCCACUUCCUCAUCGCCGCCGGCCUCCAACCCCUCCCUUCAUCAUCAUCCUUCUCCACCACAUCUCAUCUCCCUCACCUCACGGAAGAGAGAAACCCGACGCCGACUCAAGCUCAAGCCUCCAUCUCAUCAUCUCCCUCAAGCUCCGGCUAAAUCCUCUCCCUCACCUCUCGUCUUCGGAUUAGAAGAGGAGAGCCUCUUCUCCACUUCAUCACCACCAUCCGGCCAUCUCCUCUUCGGAUUAGAAGAGGAGGAACCGGCAGCCACCGUCAGAGAGGUCCAUCUCUUCUUCAUUACAACCGGCUCCAAUCUCUCCCGAGCCAUCAUCUCCCUCUUCGGGUUAGAAGAGGGUGGUCCGGCCACCAUCCACCAUCUCCGGCCAUCGCUCUUCGGGUUAGAAGAGGGAGAACCGGGGCUUCAUUUUCUUCCUCCCCUCUUCGGGUUAGAAGAGGAGGAGCUCUUCCUCCACGUCCAGCAGCCUCUCCAAAUCAUCGCAGCCCCUUCCUCUUCAGGAUAGCAAUUAUUCCCGUCUUCAGAUUAGAAGAGGAGAUCCAUCCAUCUCUUCCAACAUCAGCACCUCCGCACAUGCCUACAACUGUCAUCCGUCCGUGAGCUUGGGUCGUUAUCUUCAUACGUGGUUUAUACUUGUUGGUUGUUUCAUGUAUUUGGUUGUUUUUGUUGAUAUUGAAUGCAUUGGAAAAGUGUUAACUUCCCAUGUUAGGAAUUCAUGCACUAGGGUUGAAUUGGAUGAUGAACACAACAUGUUUUCUUAAAUGUCCCUUCCAUUUCAUUACUCUUUUUAAUGCAUUUCACUUGUUUAAUUCAUGCAUGUUUUGUUAAUGUUCUUUUUUGUCAUUAAUUUAGAUGUAUGUAAGUUAGAUUAGAUUAGGUUAUUGUUGAAUGCUUUAGGAUAGUAAAAUGCUUUACUUUAUUCAUGUUGUCUUUCAUCUUCUACAAUUGUAGUUUAGGUUACCCCCCAAUUUCCAUAGCUAAAAACCUCAAGCAAUACAUCAAUCCUAGAGCUAUCAUCCUAUCAUUAUAUUCAUUGGGAAACAACUCGAGUCAUUUCUAUGCUACAUUAGCGUAGAGACUUAAUUAAAUUUGAUACACCCGUAGUUCGGCAUACGAGUGCUUAUUACAUGCUUCUUCGUCCAAAUGCACAAUAUACAGUUUUCUUCUAGGUUUCUGUUUUUGUUUUUUGUUUUCUUGAUGUUGUGCUAUCAUAUUGUAGUUUGUGAACCCUCUUUCUUUUCCUCCCUAUUGAAUGAGAUGUCAGCUGUUGUUAGUUGUUUUAAUCAACGAGCACAACACUUGCUUGAAUUGCAUUUAGCAUCAGGCUUUAAGAAGAAUAUUAUGUGGUUUAGAGGUAAGUCUCUGCAGAGCCAUGGAGAACUGAUGCAAGAAGGGAAGAACCUAGUUGCUUAUGGUAUCAUAAACUCCAUUGCCAUGAGGAAGAUGUUUUAAAAAUAGGACAAGAUUCAUUUCUCAAAGCAAGGGCAGGCGUUCAGUUCUAAAGUUCCAAGUAUGCAUAUUGAAAUCCUUCAAUCUCCAUGGCUCUGUGAACUGGUGGCCUUUUACAUUAACUUGAUGGCCUUUUACGUAAAACUGCCUCAUUUGAGCUGUAAAAGCCUAUCUUCUUUGUGCUGUCAUGCAGUGCACUAGAUUGCAAUUUGAACAGCAUAUCCUUUUUCUAAA